GGCAUGCCUAAUACAUGCAAGUCGAACGAGCUUCCGUUGAAUGACGUGCUUGCACUGAUUUCACAAUGAAGCGAGUGGCGAACUGGUGAGUAACACGUGGGGAAUCUGCCCAGAAGCAGGGGAUAACACUUGGAAACAGGUGCUAAUACCGUAUAACAACAAAAUCCGCAUGGAUUUUGUUUGAAAGGUGGCUUCGGCUAUCACUUCUGGAUGAUCCCGCGGCGUAUUAGUUAGUUGGUGAGGUAAAGGCCCACCAAGACGAUGAUACGUAGCCGACCUGAGAGGGUAAUCGGCCACAUUGGGACUGAGACACGGCCCAAACUCCUACGGGAGGCAGCAGUAGGGAAUCUUCCACAAUGGACGAAAGUCUGAUGGAGCAAUGCCGCGUGAGUGAAGAAGGGUUUCGGCUCGUAAAACUCUGUUGUUUAAGAAGAACACCUUUGAGAGUAACUGUUCAAGGGUUGACGGUAUUUAACCAGAAAGCCACGGCUAACUACGUGCCAGCAGCCGCGGUAAUACGUAGGUGGCAAGCGUUGUCCGGAUUUAUUGGGCGUAAAGCGAGCGCAGGCGGUUUUUAAGUCUGAUGUGAAAGCCUUCGGCUUAACCGGAGAAGUGCAUCGGAAACUGGGAGACUUGAGUGCAGAAGAGGACAGUGGAACUCCAUGUGUAGCGGUGGAAUGCGUAGAUAUAUGGAAGAACACCAGUGGCGAAGGCGGCUGUCUAGUCUGUAACUGACGCUGAGGCUCGAAAGCAUGCGUAGCGAACAGGAUUAGAUACCCUGCUAGUCCA
rnacentral:rRNA from 2 species